CAGUCUAUGGUCGUUACCAGCUUACACUCGAGGUAAGUUACCUGAACUACACAACAACACUUAAAAUAACUAUUUAUCUGUUAUUGACAUUAUAGUUCAUAAGGUUUAAAAUGCUUCAACAAUCUUUAAUAUGUAGAUGUAGUAAUGCUGAUGGAAGCUAUUUAACUUGUAAAACAUUUAUUAACUGUUAUUGCAGCUUUAGUUAAAGUAUUAACAAAUCACACAAGGUAAUUCCCCACAUCGCUAUGUUGAGUUACGUUGCUGCUGUCGGCAGUGCUGUGCGAGAUCAUUGUCUGGAAUAACACUGUUGUCACAACACAUUUGUCACAAGAUGUUUUUUUCUUUCAGUGAUCGGUUCUUGUUGAGGUCGCGAUGCCUCCACGUCUGCUAUAUACAGCUUAAACUUGUCACACUGUUCAUCAGAUGUCCCACCUGGUGCCCAGAGAGCUACAGAGACCUGGGAAGCCUCCUCAUUGUGCUGGAAGCUGUCAGGCUGUCUGAUCACAGAGAAAGGCUGUGAUUUUCUGGCCUCAGCUCUGAGCUCCAAUCCCUCCCAUCUGAGAGAACUGGACCUGAGCUACAAUCAUCCAGGAGACUCAGGAGUGAAGCUGCUGUCUGCUGGACUGGAGGAUCCACUACUGAAACUGGACGCUAUAAGGUAUGAAGAGGCCUGAUGCAGCCACAGACAAUCAGUCUGAUAGAGCAGGUAUUUUUUGUUAAUGGCUCAGAAGAGAAACACUGGUUGAACAUGGACAUCUAUGUGUAGGAGGUCUCCAAGGAUAACAUCUCCAGCAACAAAUGAUGAUAAUUGCCUGUUGGUAAUAAGUUUGGACAGAUCUCUGCAUGUUGAAGGAACUUUCAGUCUGAGAAAUAUCCUUUUUAUAUCUUACCCGAUCAAACUAAUUUCAUGUCUGUGGAAAGAGAGGUCCAGGACGGGCCUAGCUUAGCACAAAACUGAAACAGGUGGAAACUGCUAGCCUAGCUCCAUCACAAGACAAAAAAGUAAAUCUUCCAAUAACUCCAGCUAACAUAGUUUAGUUAAGACUAUGAUCAAACCUGACACAGGACAGGACUAUUGAACUGAGUGUACUUCAGAAAAAGUGUAGUGAACAUAGUCUACACAGGCCUUAAUGCUCAAUUAGUAUUUAUUGCUUUGAUGUGAUUUUUUUAAUUGACUGUUACAUUAUUUUUUAAAUGUGGCCCAUAUUAGACUCCAAUGUGAAUUGGCCACAGUUUGAAUGUGACCCGCAUGCGCAAAAGAAUAAUUCAACGUCAUACGCAGUCGUACUGAAGUAAACAUGGAGUAAACAUCUGAGGUCGGCGCAUACUUACCAACCUUUUUCUGGCACUGUGCAGCAUGUAUAAGCCCUUCAACUCUCUCUCUGUACUUUUUCUUUUUGUACAAGUAGCAUGCACGUGAAGCAGAAGAUAGCUCACAAACCCCCUAACAGAGGUUAUCGUCUAUGGUUUUAUUUGUAAGUAGAUUUCAGAUAGAGAAAGGGCAAAUCAUGAGCAAAGAGGGAGAAAAAGAAAGAGACUUUUUUUUUUAUGGCUUUUUGUGGAGCUUUUUUGUUCACUGCAGGUCCCACUAGCACAGAAUUGUGACGACAGUCACUCAAGAGAGAUGUCAGGGUUGCAUGAAUUCUGAUCUGACUGUCUAGACUGAGGUUGCAUGUCAAACAAUCUGUGCUUUAUCUGAUUUGGACCACAUAUCAAAGUGGCCCAAAUCCGAACUGGAAAAGAUCAGAUUCUAUGUGACUUGGGCUUUUUACAUUCUUAUAGAAAAAAAUCUGAUCUGAAUCACGUGAGCAAAAAGACCAGAUUUGGUAUUUAUAUUGUAGACCCUCAGGGAACAUUCAGGAUCUGUUCUGGGAUCGUUUCGGGUACCAUAUUUUAUUCAGAAACUUAAUUAAAACUUUCCCAGAUGGUGAUGAUGUGGAGUUCUUCGUAGGGUUGGGGAACGUUAUUUGGCAGACCUCGGGGAACAUACAGGAUGUUCUGGGAACAUUUAGUGGAUCAUAUUGAAUUCAGAAAAGAGACCAUCCUACAUAGUGUCAAGGACAUCGCCAUAUAAUGUUCCCAGACGGGCACAAUGUGGAGUUCUUUGAAUAGGUUUGGGGAGGUUGUUUGGCAGAUCUUCAGGGAACAUUGAAGACGUUCUGGAAAUGUUUAGGCAAUCAUAGGAUGCAAAUGUAAAUGGUCUGUAUUUGCAUAGUACCUUUCUAUCCUUUGAGGCCACUCAAAGCACUAUUACACCACAUAGUGUUCACUCAUUCACACACAUUCAAACAUCAAUGGAACAGCAAUUUAGGGUUCAGUAUCUCACCCAAGGACACUUCGACAUGCAGCCUGGAGGAGUCAUUUUACAGUUAUAUUCCUUUUUAUUUCACAGAUUUUUCCUGUAUUUUUGAAAUACAUGAAAAUAUCAAAAACUUGCAUGUAAAAUAACAUGAAAAACCUGUAGCUGUGCAUAACCAUAACAUUUCUGUUAUUUUAAAGAAAAUAUUGUUUUUUUUUAAAUAUAUUAACAAACUGUUCCAAUACAUUCAGGAAUAUACCGUAUUUUCGCAAAUAAUAUUUUUCUUAUUUAAAAGCUGUUAAAUUUAAGUUUAAUACUGUAAAAACAUUUCUUAAACUUAGUAAAAUUAGUAACAGUUAACUGUAACAAAAAAACAUGUGUUCUGCAAUUUCACAUUGACAAAUAAAAACAAAUAAAAUAAAAUAAAAACAUUGAAUAAAUAUUAUUUUCAUCAGUGUAUAAUGUCUGCAAGCAUUGUUAAACUGUCAAAACACAGUUUUGAUCAUUGAAAACAGCCAUAAUUACUGUAAUUUCACAGAUGUUGACUUUUAUAAUGCUUAGAUUACAAGUUAGAUUAAAACAUUAAUAAUUGUCCCAAAGUGGAAAAAUUAACGAAAAGUAAUAUUUUAUUUAUUGUUAAAUGACAGGUGUCCACACCUUUUAAUGGGCUUAAAAAAUAAACCUAAACUUCCCAUAAAAUUAUGGGUUUGUAAUUAAAAAUGAAUUUUAAUGCCAUUUUAUAGAUACUUCGAUUGAAGAGUCUUAGCUAUAGGUGUAUUAUCACAACCUCAAACCAACAUAUUUAAAUCUGUUUUUUUUUCUUAAUUAAAAAUUACCACAUGUUCACAUUUUACAUUACAUACCACCACAGUACAAAUACCCACAUCUGAUAAUAUUUAUAGACCAUUUAUUCAGUUCCAUGCUCACAAUAAAUAGGCCACACAAGUUAAACAUUUCAGUGUAAAGAAUUGUUCUCCUGUAACUAAAGUGGUUUAGUUUUUAUUUACCUUAUGGAUGACAUUUUCAGAUCCAUUCAUUUGAAACACAACUGGUUUGACAUAAAGAACAUUUUGGACACUGUCAGACACAGCUCCAAGAUUAAAAUGGAACAUGAAUGUAAAGCAAUUAUAAAUU